rnacentral:rRNA from 1 species
AAAUGCCUUUUUUUUUAAGUAUUCAUGAAAUUUGAAUAUAAUUCUAGAUAAAAAAUUGAUAAUGACAGAGUUUUAUCUAUUUGUCUUGACCAAAUCUUGUGCCAGCAGUCGCGGCAACACAAGGAAGACAAGCGUUAUUCAUCUUAAAUUGGUUUAAGGGGUACCUAGACGGUAAAUUAGGCCAUAGUAGGUACGUUUUUACUAGAGUUAAAGAUGCAAGGGGAUUGUGUCAGUAUUGACAGAGUAGAGAUGAAAUU